CGGCCUGUUCCCGAACAGGAAAGAUCGGUAAGGCAGCGGAUUUUGAUUCCGCCAUGCGGAGGUUCGAAUCCUCCCACCCCAGCCA
rnacentral:tRNA from 1 species